rnacentral:sRNA from 1 species
GCCGGGCAUGGUGGCGCAUGCCUGUAAUCCCAGUGGCUUGGGAGACUGAGGCUGGAGGAUUGUGAGUUCAAAGCCAGCCUCAGCAAAAGCAAGGCUCUAAGCAACUCAGUGAGACCCUGUCUCUA